AGUCGAACGAGAGAGAAGGAGCUUGCUUCUUCGAUUGAGUGGCGAACGGGUGAGUAACGCGUGAGGAACCUGCCUCAAAGAGGGGGACAACAGUUGGAAACGACUGCUAAUACCGCAUAAGCCCACGGGUCGGCAUCGACCUGAGGGAAAAGGAGCAAUCCGCUUUGAGAUGGCCUCGCGUCCGAUUAGCUAGUUGGUGAGGUAACGGCCCACCAAGGCGACGAUCGGUAGCCGGACUGAGAGGUUGAACGGCCACAUUGGGACUGAGACACGGCCCAGACUCCUACGGGAGGCAGCAGUGGGGAAUAUUGCACAAUGGGGGAAACCCUGAUGCAGCGACGCCGCGUGGAGGAAGAAGGUCUUCGGAUUGUAAACUCCUGUUGUUGAGGAAGAUAAUGACGGUACUCAACAAGGAAGUGACGGCUAACUACGUGCCAGCAGCCGCGGUAAAACGUAGGUCACAAGCGUUGUCCGGAAUUACUGGGUGUAAAGGGAGCGCAGGCGGGAAGACAAGUUGGAAGUGAAAUCUAUGGGCUCAACCCAUAAACUGCUUUCAAAACUGUUUUUCUUGAGUAGUGCAGAGGUAGGCGGAAUUCCCGGUGUAGCGGUGGAAUGCGUAGAUAUCGGGAGGAACACCAGUGGCGAAGGCGGCCUACUGGGCACCAACUGACGCCGAGGCUCGAAAGUGUGGGUAGCAAACAGGAUUAGAUACCCUGGUAGUCCACACCGUAAACGAUGAUUACUAGGUGUUGGAGGAUUGACCCCUUCAGUGCCGCAGUUAACACAAUAAGUAAUCCACCUGGGGAGUACGACCGCAAGGUUGAAACUCAAAGG
rnacentral:rRNA from 1 species